rnacentral:snoRNA from 1 species
CCGCGGUGAUGAUCCCCCUUUGAACUCUCUCUUACCGACAGCCCCGUGGGGAAAAGAACGAACGGGAUCUGAGCGGU